rnacentral:rRNA from 1 species
GACAGAGGUGCCGAGCGUUAGGCGGAAUCACUGGGCUUAAAGCGUGUGUAGGCGGGCCGUUAAGUGCCCCGUGAAAUCCCCCGGCUCAACCGGGGAACGGCGGGGCAUACUGGCGGCCUUGAGCCACUUAAGGGCAGACGGAACAAGCGGUGGAGCGGUGAAAUGCGUUGAGAUCGGAAGGAACGCCCGUGGCGAAAGCGAGGUCCUGGACGUUGACUGACGCUGAGACGCGAAAGCCAGGGGAGCGAACGGG